AAUUCUGUCAAGGUCUCUUUUUAAUGAUGCUUCUGCGCUUGGUGGCAUCCUGCCCACAGAUCGAAAAAGAAAAUGACUUUUCAAGUGUUUACAGAGCCUGAACAGCAAGAGAGAUUCCUUCCCAGCGUGGGUGUCCCAGCGUGACUUCAGGAGGCUGGAAUGGCCGUCUUUGCAAACGCUUGGCUGCCCGCUCCACAGCUGAGCUCUUGGGAAGGAGCACGAGGUGGGUCAGGAUACCAGCAGUCCAGUUCAGCAGUGUCAGGAUCGCAAACAGGAGUCAGCAGUGAUGGCAGGACCCAGCAGAAACAACCAGACCUUUUCCAAAUCAGCACGGGUCAACAGGAUCGUCAAGGACCAGCAGAAAUGUCAGGAGGAGUGUCUCUCUCAUCAAAGUAAAGAUCAGUGAAGAUGAAGAUGAAGACCAAGGAAGCCUUGUGACAUUGGCUCUGCAAGCCCACCAUCAUUGUCCAUUGAGUCCUAUUUAUAGUCCCUCCAAACACCACAUAUUCUCCCUCACCUUGAGAGUCUGUGUUAGCAAAACUCCACUUGAGUCUGUAUCAGCUGACAUCACUCUGCCAAUCAGCCCGAGUCCACGGAAGUGCCAAAGAGCCACCAGAAUGCCAUCAGAAGUUUGUAGUGCAUUUCUUUCUAUGAAGUCACAACAAAUAAUGACUAGGGAGGAAUGGCAAGGCGCACCAAUACCAUCCAGCAGCAGCAGCCACAGUCUGUCAGGUCCUUCUUCACCUCAUGCAUCCUUUCACAUGUUUGCUCUAGCAAAACAUCCCUUUACCUUCGUCUGCUUCAGGAAAACAUUUGACACAGCUGACUUUGGAAGGAAACCAGAAGCUGCCACUUCAGUUGGUGCUGCUGGCGACUAGACUUCGGUGCCUGGUGUUCCCAAUUACUGUUUUUAUGACUUUAGCAAAAUAAAAGUUUGUUCUCUGAA